CGUCGCGCCGGAGAGCGCAGUGGCGGCGGCGGGAAAGGGUUGCGGACCCGCGGCGCUCACUCGACGACGCGGCCUGGGCCUCGACGCCCGGCUCCAGCUUCAGAAGCAGUAAGAAGACAUUCUGUUGGAUAAUAGGAAGAACUGUAGAAUUUGCAGAUGUCAACCCUGGCCUUACUAAACACAUGGAUAGCACCAAUGCCAAACAGACAGUCCUAUUACUGCUGGAUUUGCAAGAUUUUUAAUCCUGUUUUCUUUGAAUUAUGAUUUAAAUAUCAAAAAUAUUAAAUUUUUUUAAAAAGGGAAAUAUUUUAGUUUUGGAAGUCAGAAUGCCAAGGAAAAGGAAAAAUCUUGGGGGAAAUCCUUUUCGGAAGACUGCAAACUCUAAGGAAGUUAUCGUGUCCAGUGUUGCUAGUCAUGAGGAGCCAACUGCUACCCUUCCUUCCAUGUGUGAAACAAAAAUUGAUCAGGAAGAACUCUUCACCAGUGUCUCAGAGAUGUUUUCUGAACUGGAUCCUGAUGUAGUGUAUUUGAUGCUUUCUGAAUGUGAUUUCAAAGUUGAAAAUGCCAUGGAUUGUCUCUUAGAAUUAUCUGCCACUGAUGCCAAGAUAGAAGACUCAUCUUCACAAAGUUCUCUUGCGUGUGAGAAUAUGCCAAGUGGGUCAGGAAGUGGAAUAAUGGAGAAAUGUCCUCCUGAAGAAGAGAGUGAAGAUUCAAAAAUGGACUCAUUUUUGGAUAUGCAGCUAACUGAAGACUUGGAUUCCUUAAUACAGAAUGCUUUUGAGAAAUUGAAUUCUUCUGAUGACCAAGUCUAUUCAUUUUUGCCUUUGCAAGAUGUUAAUAAUUUCAGUGACCCUACUACGUUUAUGAAUUCAGAUUCAAAUAGUAUGACUCCUGUUUUUCCUGUACAAAAUGUGGGUUCAAAUAGUGAAAAUUUUAAGAAUUCUGCCUCUGCAUUAAGUUCAAACCCAUUAACUUCAGAUUCAUUUUUGAGUGAGUCUGAAAGUUUUAUAAAUGAUACCACGUUGGCAUUAGAAGGUAACUACCCAGAAGGGUCUCAUCUCAGUAGUUCUUUAAAUCCCCAAAAUGACUCUGUUGUGGGUUGUGGCAGUAUUAGCCAAACACAAAAAGAUCAUUUAGAAUCUGAGUGUGCUAAUGCUCAACUUUCUCUGACUCCUGUAGAGUUGGGUACCAUUGAACCGCAGGUUCCUUCAAAUCUUCCUCUGCAAAAUCCAGGGCUUGAUUUAUCAGGUACUGAUGGAGGUCAGAAAUCUACUUCUGUGUCUGAUGUUUUUGUACCCUCUGAAGGGUUCAAUUUCAAGCCACACAAACAUCCUGAACUGCCACCAAAGGGGAAGGAUGUGAAUUACUGCCCAGUACUUACCCCUCUUCCUUUGCUCCUUCCUCCUCCUCCACCUCCACCAAUUUGGAAUCCAAUGAUUCCUGCUUUUGACCUCUUUCAAGGAAAUCAUGGCUUCGUAGCUCCUGUUGUAACCACAGCUGCACACUGGAGACCUGUCAACUACACGUUUCCACCCUCUGUCAUUUCUCAUACUUCCCCAACAAAAGUGUGGCGAAAUAGUGAGGGAGCAAGUGCUUAUCAAGUGCAAGAGACUCCAGUUUCUCAGCCUGUAAGAAAGAAGACAACAUCCUACGUUGGACUAGUUCUUGUUCUUCUCAGAGGGCUCCCGGGUUCAGGAAAAUCUUUUUUGGCAAGGACUUUGCAAGAGGAUAAUCCAAGUGGCGUCAUUCUUAGUACUGAUGAUUAUUUUUAUAUAAAUGGACAGUACCAGUUUGAUAUAAAGUACUUAGGAGAAGCCCAUGAAUGGAACCAGAAUCGUGCAAAAGAAGCAUUUGAGAAGAAAGUAUCUCCAAUAAUCAUUGACAAUACAAACCUACAGGCAUGGGAAAUGAAGCCGUAUGUUGCCUUGUCUCAAAAGCAUAAAUAUAAAGUCCUUUUCCGGGAACCAGACACAUGGUGGAAGUUCAAACCAAAGGAACUUGCAAGGCGUAAUAUUCAUGGGGUAAGCAAAGAGAAGAUAACAAGAAUGCUGGAUCACUAUCAGCGUUUUGUUUCAGUGCCAAUAAUCAUGAGUUCCUCGGAUCCAGAGAAAACUGAACGCAUUGAAUUGUGUGCAUAUUCUUAUGAAGAUGGAAGUCCUAGCCCAAGAGACAAUGAAGAUAUUACCUCUGAAAAAGAAAAUGUUUUAUCCUCGACUUUGAAGCAUUUAGAGUUCAUUACAGAGAAUAAUCUUGUUGUGGCCAAGAACACAGGAGUAGCUGAGAAUGUUGCAGACCUCCCCAGUGCAGACUUAGACAAAGGACAACAAGAGAUCAGUGACGUGAGUCAGAGCAUUCAGGGCUCCUUUCAGGAGGCUCCAAAGACACAUGUCUCUAACUCUGAGAGCAAAGGAAAAGCAUCAGGUAGAAGUGAAAUAGAACAAGUAGAAAGGACAUCUGAAAAAGAGUGUACUGACAGAGAUGCCCAUAGUCCUGCAGAGAGCCCAUCACUGAGUGCUUGCUGUAGUGAAAGUAAUCAAGACAAUUGUGAUCUUACAAAUGCUGUUCCACUUCAAAAUGAAAGAGCUUCACCUGCUGAAGUACUAGAAGAAAGAACAGGAAAGAAGAAAGCUAUCGGAAAACAAAAGAGUAAAUCAUCUUUGGAAAAGUUCCCAAGAAAUGAACUAUCAAAUUUUGUUGGUGACUGGCCAGUUGAUAAGACUAUUGGCCAGAGGACCAAAAGGAGCCGAAAAACUGAAAAAGCUUCAUCUGUACAGAGUGAUAAAAAGUAUAAUCGUCCUCAGUCACACAAAGUGCUAGACACUAAGGUAUCUGUAAAUACAGAUCGUAGCCAGCAACAAGGAUCUCCACAUGGAAAUGAUUUUUCAGAAGUCCCUAAUAGCUAUGAGUAUGAUACUUACAAAAGUACUGAUCAGACCUCAUUCAGCAUUGUGGGUGACUGGCCUUCAGCUGCUUCUUUAGCUCAAAGAGAGCAUAGAUCAAGAAUACCCAAAGCUGGCUUAAGUGAACCCAACUUAGAAUUUGGAACUAAUGACAAUCUAGGUGAAAUAUCCUUAUAUACAGCACAUGAGGCCUGUUGGGGCAUGAGCCCUGAAGAACUGAAAACCUUGGGUUCUACUCUGCGAAGUUCUGAAAUGCUACCCUGUAAAACGACCCCUGAAAAUCAGACUUGUCUGAGCAAAAAGAUUCAUAGUCAGCGCACACUGCCUCUUUCCUUUGCCAGUAGUACAGCAACUAUUCCUGGAGUAAUAGGACCCCAAACUUUGGCGGAAUUUCCAAGGGAAGUAUCUCGAGAUGUGUCUGGAUUAGAUGUAGGCACGUGUACCCAGACUGAACCCCAAGAUUUUGCUCUCUUGUGGAAAAUAGAAAAGAAUAAAAUCACUGUUUCAGAUUCUGUCAGAGUAUUAACAGGAAAAUUAGAUGGUUUUAAGCCAAAAGAUUUCACUCUUAACACAAAAUCAAAUGUUCAAGAAACAAUUCCAUACAGGGUAAUGCAUGACAAAAGUACAUAUGUUGAAGAAAGUGAGCUUACCAGUGCUGAUGAAUCUGAAAAUCUUAACAUUCUUUGUAAACUAUUUGGAUCAUUUUCCUUAGAAGCCCUGAAAGACUUAUAUGAGAGGUGUAAUAAAGACAUUAUUUGGGCCACAAGCCUUUUGUUGGAUUCUGAGACUAAAUUAUGUGAGGAUACUGAAUUUGAGAAUUCCCCCAAAUCAUGCAAUGAAUCCCAAGUUGGGCCAUUUUCUAUGGGGUUGGAUUUGAAGGAAAUUAUUAGCCAAAGAGGAACCUCAGAAGAUUCCAAGUCUUCUGUGCCAGAGUUUAGUCCUGUGGUUGGUAUCAGUAACACUAACGCACAGUCUACUGGUAAUACAGAAAAUGAAAACUCAGAGCAGGAAGAAAUAAGAUCUAUAAAUCCUGAAAACCCUGAAUUAAUCACGGGAAUAUUUCCUUAUGCCACUAUGAAUGUAAAGAGUAAUAAUGAAAUAGUUCAUAUUAGUCGGGCUGAGCUUUCAGGUUUGUAUAGCUUUAAGCAGUCUCUUCCUCUUAUUUCCAAAUUGAAUAUCCCUAAAGAUGUUAGUGAAAUGGAGAAUAAUCUAGUAGCCACUGUGACUGGAGACAAUAUGCAUUCUUCUCUUCAUUUAUCUGAUAUUAUAAACUCUGCAACAAGCACUUCAAAUCUUGAAUUAAAUGAAGAAGUUUAUCUUACUGAGUCUUUGGAAGCAAAGAAAAAUGAAAAUCUUCCUAAAGAUUAUGUGAAAUUUUCAAAGAUAGAAGAAUUUAUUAAUGAAGAUAAACAGGAAAUGGAGAAAAUUCUAAUGCCAGGAACUAGUUUGUCUGUUGGAGUUAGUGAAGAGGAUAAAACCGAGACACUAAGUCCCAUGCCAGUGAUGGCCAAAUCUCUAACUAUAGACUGUCUGGAAUUGGCAUUACCCCCUGAACUGGCUUUCCAACUCUAUGAGUUAUUUGGCCCAGUUGGUAUUGAUUCAGGGUCUCUAACAGUUGAGGAUUGUGUGGUUCAUAUAGAUCUGAAUCUGGCUAAAGUGAUUCAUGAGAAAUGGAAAGAAUCUGUGAUGGAGCGACAAAGACAAGAGGAGGUAUCUUGUGGCAAGUGUGUACAAGAGCCUUCUCUGGCAGGACAUACUGUUCUUGACAAUCCUGAACAAAAAUCAACUCAGAAAACAGGCAAAAAAUUAUUGAAGACUUUAGCAGCAUCUGAAACAGUGCCCCUACUGGAUCACUGGAACACUCAAACUAAGAAAGUAUCACUUCGAGAAAUAAUGUCUGAAGAAAUUGCCUUACAGGAAAAACAUGAUUUGAAAAGGGAAACACUAAUAUUUGAAAAAGAUUGUGCCACGAAACUCAAGGAGAAGCAGCUCUUUAAAAUAUUUCCAGCCAUUAACCAGAAUUUUCUGGUGGACAUUUUCAGAGAUCACAAUUAUUCAUUGGAACAUACAGUGCAGUUUCUAAACUGUGUUCUUGAAGGAGACCCUGUGAAAACAGUUGUAGCUCAAGAUUAUGUUCACCAAAAUGAGAAUGUCAUUUCUCAUACUGCACAGAAAUCUAAAGAGAAAAAGACAAAGAAACCAAAGGAGACAGAAGAUACCCCCAGUGAGCCAUCUUUUCAGGAUUUUGAGUACCCAGAGUAUGAUGACUACAGGGCAGAGGCUUUCUUGCACCAACAGAAGAGGAGUGAAUGCUACAGCAAAGCGAAGGAAGCCUAUCGGAUGGGGAAGAAAAAUGUGGCCACCUUUUAUGCUCAGCAGGGUAGUCUUCAUGAGCAGAAAAUGAAAGAAGCUAAUCACCUCGCUGCUGUGGAGAUCUUUGAGAAAGUCAAUGCCUCCCUGUUGCCUCAGAAUGUUUUAGACCUCCAUGGGCUGCAUGUGGAUGAAGCUAUAGAGCAUUUGACAACAGUUCUACAGCAGAAAACUGAAGAAUUUAAACAGAAUGGCGGUAAGCCCUAUCUUUCUGUGAUUACUGGGAGAGGAAACCACAGCCAGGGAGGAGUUGCUCGAAUCAAACCAGCUGUCAUUAAAUACCUCACAAGCCAUAGCUUCAGGUUCUCAGAAAUUAAACCAGGGUGCUUGAAAGUCAUGCUAAAAUAAAACUUAAAAAGUCCUUGACUUAGAAGUCUGAAGGUUUGUAGGUUAAAAUUAAUUUUGUUUGCAGUAAUUCAGUCAGUUCUACUUGCAAAUGUGUUUUAUUAGUAAUACUGCCCAGUUAUAAAACAAGGAAAAUGUUUUUCAAAAUUCAAGAAAAGAUUUUUACUGGAUCAAAUGCCAAAUAAUUUAUUUGUUAAAAUAUUAAAGAGAAUUUUUAUUGUCACAGAAUGUCUAUGGAAAUUAUCAACUGCAAUUUUCAAGUCUGGAGUGCUCUAGUUCACAGAGCAGAAGUGCCGCCUUUGUAUGAAUUGUUGCUUGAUAAUUUGGUGAAGUCCUAAAAGUGUCUGUGAGAAGCAACAUGCUUUGAAACCUGGUUCUUGCCUUUCAAAAGCUUAUGUUCAAAGUAAUGGCAGUAGUAAAGAAAGAAAGGAGAUCCAACAAAAACACUUGAAAUUUUUGCUUUCAAAGCCAGACACAAAAUCAUUUCAUUUCACUAUGUCCUGCAGGCAGACACCAUUGUAUUUUCUUGUGCUUGUAUGGAAUCUUUAUCUCGUCCUUUUGUUCUGUUGUUCUUGUGUGCAUUUUCUGGGAGGAAAGUUGGGUCUGAAAGUUGGGGUUUCAUAAUUUCCAUAGUUAGAAAAACUUUCAGAGAAGGAGAAAUGGCUAGUUAUCCAUCAUAUGUUACUGCCUUAUAGAGCUUUCUAGAACUGUCUGUGAGUGGCACUUGAGGCAGUACUAAAUGGCUGUCUUUUAUACUUGAGACAUCAUUUCUAAACUAUAGUGAGCCAAAAUCCAAUUGACUUAAAUCAGAAAACAUUUUUGUUGUAACUGUAAAAGAAUUCUUUCUAAUUAGAAAUAUUUUUUACCUUUAUUUUUUAAAAGAGCCAUCUUUCUGGAAGAAAAGUUUCAUUGACUUGUGUUGGUUAGUUCCUGUUAGCUUGUACGUUCUACUUUUCUUUAUACAGGCUUAAUGUAAAUGUAAUUCUCCCAAUAUGAGACAGCAGUUAAGAUACAUUUAACUUUGGAUAUAUAGAAUAUUUUCAACAUAUAUAGUAUUGGCAUGUAGUUAUGUUACUUUUCUAUUGAGCUUGCAGAAUCAUCUUGAUCAGGAUUGCUAGGCUUGAGCUGCACCUAUAGCAUCUUGAUAGAAGGGCUCCCUAAGAGCAUGCAUUUUAAUGGAAAUAAAACUCAAAACCCUGUUUUUACAUAUUGUGAAUGCAUGCUUUUAAAAGAGCCUUAUCAUUGAAUUUUAUUUCCACAAAUAAGAAUCCAUUAUUUAGAAACGAUUAGUGAUGACUGAUGCUAAAUAAUCACUGAGUAUUAUUUUUAUAGUUUUAGAUUUUACUAAUUUGUUUUAAAAAUUACCAGUAGUGUAGCCCACUUUUUGUAAUGCUUGGAAGUGUUGUAUAUGUCAAAAAUAAAGCAGUUCUCCUACAGCUUAUUACAAAAAUCACAAUGAAAUGAAAAUGUGCCUAUGUACAAGUUAAUAUUACUUAAACAGUGAAAAAUAAUAGUGAUCCCUAGAAUUAUUGGUGUGCAGCUGCAUACUCAUUCUCUCACUUGUUUUUUUUUUAGACUUCAGAUAGGCUUAUUAGAAUAUUGUUAAAAUAAUUAAUAAGGGAGCAGUCAAAAGAAGUACAAGUGUGACCAUCUGUGGUUAGAAGUCAAAUGAAAAACCAGUGUUUUAAUACCUUAUCAACUUGUUUUGAAUUGAAUAGAGAAACAAGGCUAGAACAUGCCUGCAUCCUGAAGAGCCUGUGUAACCUCACAUUAUAGGAUGACAAAUUGUAUUAUGUUCCUUAAAGUUGAGCAGUUGACUUUCGUGGUCCAAAUGAUGAGCCUGUUAUUAAUAAGUGAUUGAAUUAACACUGAGACUUCUCAUUAAAAUGCAACAUUGCAGCAGUCGGUUGAAGAAUAUAUUAUAAACUUUUCAGACAGUAUAUCAGAAACAAAAUGUUUUUAUUUGUACUAUAAAGAAAAUGUAAUUUUUGCUGUUAACUCUGUACUUUUUUAUUGAAAAUGUUUAUAACUUUGCUUUUAGAAUUUCUUACAAACCAUUUGCAAAUUACACACUUAAUUUAAUAAAAUACUUUAGUCACAGUCAAGUGUGAGGAAAUCCUUUGUUUGAUGUGGUAGGUUUAGUGGCUUAAAUAUUAAAGACUAUUUUUGCAUGUAUCUUUGUAAUUCCAUGGGAACAGUGUCAUAAAAUUUUCAUUUCUGUACAACUGUUCUAACUUAUUUUGCUUUUUCAAACAGAGGUCCACUUUGCUCUAAGUGGAUCAGAUGAGCCUUCUCUUUACAUCCUUGUAUCUUUUGAUCAACAUCAAAAUCAACAGUAUUAUUUGUGUCUAGGACACAAAUAAUACUUUCAGUAACAUCAGCUUUAUUCAUCUCAAAAAAGUAGAAUAAUUCAGUUGUCAAAGAUGUUAAAAUAUUUAUUCAUUGAAUACUUAUUGAGCAAUUGUUACUGAAGAUAUAGUGUAAAACAGCUUCUAUCCACAGGUACUGUGUAAUUAUUCUCACCAGCUAAUAUGUGUAUAGAGAUUUAUAGUGUGCUUUCUUAUGUAUUAAUGUAUAAAUCUCUAGGGAAUCUUACUACAUAGAUGGUGCUAUGCCAACCCAAUGGAUAGAGACAUAAAGGACUAGAGAUGUUAACUGGCUUCCCAGUUAGUGACAGAGGUACAACGUCAACCUAGAUUCUCUGAUUUCUCGUGUGUAACAGCUGCACGUGUUGUAAAAAUCACAGUCAAAAAGAGAUGGCUGGUUAGCAUGUCUGAAAAGCUGCCAUUUAUGAAGCUGCCUUCCUUAUCCAAAGAACAGUAUUUCAGGGGAAACCAAGUACAGUUGACAAAAGAUAAAGGUGUAUUUCCCUCUUAAUAUUAAACCCUAAAGAUAAAGGCUCUAGGACUGAUGGAAGUGCUCUUUUCCAUGAAGUUUUUUUUGGGGGACUUGUGGUCUUUUUAGUUCCCUACCAUGCCUAGGGUGUGACAACUCAUUUUUUUCUAGGCAGGGGAGGAGGCUAAAGCUCUGGCUACCACAUCUGUAGUCUGUUAGAGGAAGGACUAAGUAGUGAAGGAUAAAGCCAGCAGUCUGAGAGACUGGAAGCUGCUGUAGGACAGCUGUCUGCAUCCUUCUAACCAAAACUUAGUCAUGUGGUCACAUCUGCCUGCAAGGAAGGCUGGGAAGUUAUCUGUUUCAGGCUGUCUUAGUUCAGUUCAGCUAAAUACCAAGUGCUCUCUUAAAGAGAGUGGAGAUGAAGGGAAUGAAUAGCAGCUUCUGCCUUGUCAGUUUUUACCACGAUGUACAAACAUGUGAGAAUUAGUUCUUGAUGCAUUCCUUCAACAGGUUAUUGAUAAAUUCCCAAACUAAAAGUAAUAUAAAGGAAAAAAAAUCACAGUUCGAUGUGUUAUGACUUUAAAUAUUCAAAUAAUCUUAGUAACUAAUUGAGGAAAUGGAUUUUCAGGUGAUGUCUUUAAUGGAGAUGGGAUCACUUUUGAUUAGAUAACUUACUUGUGGCAGCUAGGUUAGGCCCGUAGGUUAUUUCUGGUGGCAAUAUGUAGUUAAUACAUUUGCUUCCUCUUUUAAUUAUAUCUACAUGCAAAAGCUCAAUAGGUGGUACAUAUGAUUUAUAGAAAGUAAACCAGGCUAGAAGCUAUGACUCCAUCUGUGAGUCAGAAAUGGCAUAUAAAGAGUGAACUGUGGAAGUGUGAAGGAGAAGAUAAUUGUUUUUGCAGAUGAUGAACUUAAACACUGUUCUCCUGCUUAAAAUGUAUAAUGAAAUGUCUUUGUGUAGGAAAAGGUUUUAAACACUUGAAAGUCCCUAUCUAUGAUAUUUAUCUGAGUAUAUAAACUUGGCACCUUGCAGGAGUUCUGGAGCAUUCUUCCUGGUGACCUCGACUUCUUGCUUUUGUUAGAGAUUAGUCUUACUAUUUAAAGAAAUAUUAGCUUUUUAAUGUUACUGAAGUUUCAAAAUAUCAACAGAUUUCUUACACAAGGGGUGGAGAGAUGACAGAGGGUAUGGGCCAUCAAUGGUUCUAUCUCUUGUCAGAUGCAGGAGCAGCUGCAGGCUGUGAAGUAGGGUGAUGAAUGGGGUGAUAGAGUGAUCACUUAGUUAUGAGGUAUUGCAAAACAAUACUGAAUAAAAUUUGUUUCCAUGGAUUGAAAGACAUCAGGUUCUUUUAGACAGGAAGCUGUGAAAACAUGUCUAAAUAACCUGUAUUUGAUUUUGAACUUCAUGUUGUUAGUUGUGUAGAUUGUGCUUGAUUGUAUUAAUGAUAUAACAAGUGGCAUUCUAUUAGAAAUGGCAUUCUAAAAUGUCCUUACCUACAGCAUUUUGGGAAAUUAGGGAUGGCCUGUAAUGAAAAUAAAAAGCAUGAAUGGCAUCUAACACAAGUUGUACUCACAUUGUUGGGGAGGAUUGCAGUCGCUAAGCUAAUUAGGAAGAGAACUAAGUGACAUACAGAGCUCAGUCAGUGCUCCUGGAAGGCUGUGUGUAAGUUAGAACAUGCUUCUGGUAUUGCUAUUUCAACCUGCUCUGUGUAAUGCAGGAUAUAUGUGCAAUAUAUGCAUGUUUUAUAGUUACAUACUCAGACUGACCCACGGGUAAUUGGGAAACAAAAAUUCUGGACGGAAGUAUUAAUGCUAAAAACACUUUACAGUUGGUAAGUUAGUAGGAGCUUAUGCCAAAGUCCAAGUGAAAGCACUUUGAGACACUUGCAAAAGGCACCUCUGAUCCUGACUCACUUUGAGCUUGGGUCACAGGAAGACAAAGGCCAGCAAACUUAAAUACUAAUAAGAGACACCCUUAAAUACUAAUACUAAUAAGGCCUUCACCCAUGAGGGAUCGAGGAUAAGUCAAAUAAUUUUGUCUUUUCACUGGCAGAAAAGACUGUAAGGAAUGUUCUCUUGGCCCUGAGCAAAGUUUUAGUCUGUGAUUUUUCAAAGAUUAACAACACAAAGUCACAUAACUCAGGGUAGUACAAAAGCAACCAAAUGCCCUUCUCCCCCAGAUUUUCACACUAUGAGCUGAGUUUAAGAGGUCCCAGCCUAGUAAUGCCACUCUUAACUGCCUGGCAGAGGCAGAUGCAGAUCUCAGAAAAGGCACCUUCAUCUUGAUGGAAUAAGUCUAAUGAAGCCUGUGUACCCAGCAGUUUAUAAGAAUUAUGGAAGACAGAAGUAUGAAAUAUGUCAAACAAUCAUCAGGAUACAAUCACCAAAAUACAGAGUGGGAAGCAAACAACACGAUUUCUUCAAAACAGUGCGCAUCGAAUAGAACCUCAGAGAUAAAGGGAGAACUUACCAGGACUCAAAAGGUGUAAACCAUUGCAGUUUGUGGAUGUCAAUGAGAUACUGGCUCAGCAAAGCAAAACAAAUUGUACUACAAUAAAGAUGAUUGGCAUUGUGA